GAGUGAACGCUGGCGGUAGGCCUAACACAUGCAAGUCGAACGGCAGCACAGUAAGAGCUUGCUCUUACGGGUGGCGAGUGGCGGACGGGUGAGGAAUACAUCGGAAUCUACUUUUUCGUGGGGGAUAACGUAGGGAAACUUACGCUAAUACCGCAUACGACCUACGGGUGAAAGCAGGGGAUCUUCGGACCUUGCGCGAUUGAAUGAGCCGAUGUCGGAUUAGCUAGUUGGCGGGGUAAAGGCCCACCAAGGCGACGAUCCGUAGCUGGUCUGAGAGGAUGAUCAGCCACACUGGAACUGAGACACGGUCCAGACUCCUACGGGAGGCAGCAGUGGGGAAUAUUGGACAAAGGGCGCAAGCCUGAUCCAGCUAUACCGCGUGGGUGAAGAAGGCCUUCGGGUUGUAAAGCCCUUUUGUUGGGAAAGAAAAGCAGCAGGUUAAUACCCCGCUGUUCUGACGGUACCCAAAGAAUAAGCACCGGCUAACUUCGUG
rnacentral:rRNA from 1 species